rnacentral:rRNA from 1 species
CUGCUAUCGGAUGAUACUAAGCCAUGCGAGUCUUUGUAGUAAUACAAGGCAGACGGCUCAGUAACACGUAGUCAACCUACCCUAUGGACAAGAAUAAUCUCGGGAAACUGGGCAUAAUUCUUGAUAGAUCAUAAUGCCUGGAAUGGUUUAUGGUUAAAAUGAUUCGUCGCCAUAGGAUGGGACUGCGGCCUAUCAGCUUGUUGGUGAGGUAAUGGCCCACCAAGGCGAUUACAGGUACGGGCUCUGAGAGGAGAAGCCCGGAGAUGGGUACUGAGACACGGACCCAGGCCCUAUGGGGCGCAGCAGGCGAGAAAACUUUGCAAUGUGCGAAAGCACGACAAGGUUAAUCCGAGUGAUUUCUGCUAAAGAAAUCUUUUGCCAGUCAUAAAACCACUGGUGAAUAAGGGGUGGGCAAGUUCUGGUGUCAGCCGCCGCGGUAAAACCAGCACCUCAAGUGGUCAGGAUGAUUAUUGGGCCUAAAGCAUCCGUAGCCGGCUUUGUAAGUUUUCGGUUAAAUCCAUGUGCUCAACACAUGGGCUGCCGAAAAUACUGCAUGGCUAGGGAGUGGGAGAGGUAGACGGUACUCAGUAGGAAGGGGUAAAAUCCUUUGAUCUAUUGAUGACCACCUGUGGCGAAGGCGGUCUACCAGAACACGUUCGACGGUGAGGGAUGAAAGCUGGGGGAGCAAACCGGAUUAGAUACCCGGGUAGUCCCAGCUGUAAACGAUGCAGACUCGAUGAUGCAUUGGCAUAAUAGCCAGUGCAGUGUCGCAGGGAAGCCGUUAAGUCUGCCGCCUGGGAAGUACGUACGCAAGUAUGAAACUUAAAGGAAUUGGCGGGGGAGCACCACAAGGGGUGAAGCCUGCGGUCAAU